GGUAUUGGGAUCAAUAGGUAUUGGGGUCAAUAGGUAUUGGGGUCGAUAGGUAUUGGGGUCGAUAGGUAUUGGGAUCGAUAGGUAUUGGGGUCGAUAGGUAUUGGGGUCGAUAGGUAUUGGGAUCAAUAGGUAUUGGGGUCGAUAGGUAUUGGGAUCAAUAGGUGUUGGGGUCGAUAGGUAUUGGGAUCAAUAGAUGUUGGGAUCAAUAGAUGUUGGGAUCAAUAGGUAUUGGGAUCAAUAGGUAUUGGGGUCGAUAGGUAUUGGGGUCGAUAGGUAUUGGGAUCGAUAGGUGUUGGGGUCAAUAGGUGUUGGGGUCAAUAGGUGUUGGGGUCAAUAGGUAUUGGGAUCAGUAGGUGUUGGGGUCAAUAGGUAUUGGGACUGGGGGGUAUUGGGGUCAAUAGGUGUUGGGGUCAGUAGGUGUUGGGGUCAGUAGGUGUUGGGGUCAGUAGGUAUUGGGGUCAAUAGGUGUUGGGAUCAGUAGGUAUUGGGGUCGAUAGGUGUUGGGGUCGAUAGGUGUUGGGGUCGAUAGGUGUUGGGGUCGAUAGGUAUUGGGAUCAGUAGGUAUUGGGAUCAGUAGGUAUUGGGAUCAGUAGGUAUUGGGGUCAAUAGGUAUUGGGGUCAAUAGGUAUUGGGAUCAAUAGGUAUUGGGGUCAAUAGGU